CUCUCUCUCUAUUCAACAAGCCGGCGAGGGAAGGAAAACCGGAGAGGGAGAAAAAUGCCAGCUGGUCACGGUCUCCGAUCUCGGACCAGGGAUCUGUUUUCCAGACCCUUCAGAAAGAAGGGUUACAUCCCAUUGUCCACUUAUCUCAGGACCUACAAGAUUGGUGACUAUGUGGACGUCAAGGUAAAUGGCGCCGUUCAUAAGGGCAUGCCCCACAAAUUCUACCAUGGCCGCACUGGUCGUGUCUGGAACAUCACCAAGCGCGCCAUCGGCGUUGAGGUCAACAAGCAGGUACUGAAACAACGGUGAUUUUAGUUUUUAUUUGUGGGUUUUUCUUUGUUUGAUGGACUUUCGGUGUAUGAAUCGUUUUGGGGGUUUUCAGUUUCAUUUUGCUUGAUGCAUUAUUUAUUUGUAUUUUGGGUUUCCAUUUCAUUGUUAAAUGAUUCAUCCUACUAAGUCCCGAUAUAGGAUGUAAAGAUGUAGCUGAUUUAGCAGAUUAUGUGCAAUAAGUUUCUUGUUUCUGAAUGCUGUUUGCUGAUAUUUUCUAUGUGGUUGGAAUUGUUUAUUCUGAUUAUCCGAUUGGAUUUGUUCAUCCACUUAUAGUAAUCUGUUCGGUAUGUAUAUUAUGAAAAUCCAUUUUGAAAUAUGGUGUGCUGCUAUUUCAAAGUUAGAUUUCCUUUUGUACAUUACUACUUUCAGCAAUAGUGUAGCCCCUUUGUAAUGUUGGAGUUGCUAUUGAAGGGGAAAAUAUAUGCAUAAUCACUCUUUUGGGAUGAGCUUAGUUUAUAUAUUUCAAUAAGUUGACGUAUCAUGUUGAUUAAAUGGGACGCAACACCCCAGCGUUUCAGCGGUGAUCAUGUGAACAAUAUUGCAAUCUUCACUUGUUGCUAUCGGGCCUUUUUAUAUUCUUUUCCCGGCUGAUUUUUUCAAGCUUGUGCAUCGUAUGGGGGGUUGGGAAUUUGUGUAAUUGUUGUAUUAAUAUGCUUCCGGAUUUCAGGUGGGUAACCGGAUUAUCAGGAAGAGGAUUCAUGUCAGAGUGGAGCAUGUUCAGCCUUCAAGGUGCACUGAGGAAUUCAAACUGAGGAAGAUAAAGAAUGAUCAGCUCAAGGCAGAGGCCAAGGCAAAGGGUGAGGUGAUUAGCACAAAGAGGCAGCCUGAGGGCCCAAAACCUGGUUUCAUGGUCGAGGGUGCGAUGUUGGAAACGGUUACUCCCAUUCCAUAUGAUGUUGUUAAUGAUCUCAAGGGUGGC
rnacentral:lncRNA from 1 species